rnacentral:rRNA from 1 species
UACGUAGGAGGCAAGCGUUGUCCGGAGUUACUGGGCGUAAAGCGCACGCAGGCGGUUCAGUCAGUCUGUAGGGACAGGGCACGGCUCAACCGUGUCAGGCUUACGGAAACUGCUGAACUUGAGGGCUUCAGAGGGAUGGGGAAUUCCGGGUGGAGUGGUGAAAUGCGUAGAGAUCCGGAAGAACGCCAAAGGCGAAGGCACCAUCCUGGGGAGUCACUGACGCUCGGGUGCGAAAGCCAGGGGAGCGAACGGG